GCCCCUGUUGUCUAAUGGUUAUGACGUCAGACUUCUACGCUUACGUAAGCGGAUAUCUGGAGGUUGCGAGUUCGAGUCUCGCCAGGGGUU